rnacentral:rRNA from 1 species
ACGUCCUAUCGGGAGGCAGCAGGUGGGGAAUAUUGCACAAAUGGGCGCAAGCCUGAUGCAGCCAUGCCGCGUGUGUGAAGAAGGCCUUCGGGUUGUAAAGCACUUUCAGUAAGGAGGAAAGGUUAGUAGUUAAUACCUGCUAGCUGUGACGUUACUUACAGAAGAAGCACCGGCUAACUCCGUGCCAGCAGCCGCGGUAAUACGGAGGGUGCGAGCGUUAAUCGGAAUUACUGGGCGUAAAGCGUACGCAGGC